rnacentral:sRNA from 1 species
AGCAGCCGCGGUAAUUCCAGCUCCAAUAGCGUAUAUUAAAGUUGUUGCAGUUAAAAAGCUCGUAGUUGAAUUUCGGGGUUAGUAGGUUGGUCAUGCCUCUGGUAUGUACUGGUCUCACUGAUUCCUCCUUCCUGAUGAGCCGUAAUGCCAUUAAUUUGGUGUUGCGGGGAAUUUGGACUGUUACUUUGAAAAAUUAGAGUGUUUAAAGCAAGCUAACGCUUGAAUACAUUAGCAUGGAAUAAUGAAAUAGGACGUUCGAUCCUAUUUUGUUGGUUUCUAGGAUUGACGUAAUGAUUAAUAGGGAUAGUUGGGGGCAUUAGUAUUCAAUUGUCAGAGGUGAAAUUCUUGGAUUUAUUGAA